UUUCAUUUUUUUUAACUAUUGUAUUGUUUUUAUUUGUAAGUCGCUUUGGAAAAAAGGGGCUCCGUUUUAGUGCUAAUAUGAAUAUCUUUAUCUCUCUCUCUCUCUCAAAAGACAGACCUGGAGAAGGCUAUAAAAACUCUGGCUGAUCCCUUCAACAAGUGCAGGGAACGGGACACACACAGUUUUUUGGAGCGAAACGGAGAGACAAGCGGACAAGACUUCGAGCGCUUCUGGGUUCUGGUUAAAGAAGAGGCCGACAGAAUCUACAAAACU